GAUCAGUAAUCCAGGUCCCUGUUGGAGUCAGAGCAUUUCCAUAGAGAGACACUUUGCAUCAGCAGCACCAUGCUCCAGUGCUCUGGGACACUUUAUAGUCCUGAGAGUUGAGCACUGGAUGACUGACAGCUGUCCUUCAUGACAACAGAAGACACAGAAAUCCUCCUCAUCAAGAACAUGACUCUGAUCUGCGUCCUCAUCUGGACUCUCCUCUGCUGCUGCUUCACAGAGUCCAGAGGCCAGUACACAGUGACUCAGUCUGGAACAGUGAUCUCUGCUCCGGGACGCUCCGUCUCCAUCACAUGUACGACCAGUCAGAAGGUUUAUGGUGGGAACUAUUUAGCCUGGUACCAACAGAGAGAUGGAGGAACUCCUAAACUGCUCAUUUAUUAUACUAGCACUCGAGUAUCAGGGAUUUCAGACCGUUUUACAGGCAGUGGAUCAAACUCUGACUUCACUCUGACCAUCAGUGGAGUCCAGACUGAUGAUACAGCAGUUUACUACUGUCAGAGUUGGCAUUACCCCAACAGUCAGAAUGUGUUCACACAGUGAAAAAGCGUCGUACAAAAACCUCCCUCAGUCAGACUGAACAGGAACUGAGCUGACUGCUGCAGCUGGAAGCUACACUUCACUGAGGACACACACACACACACACACACACACACACACACACACACACACACACA